AAUAAUACCGGGUAGUCCAUGCCGUAAACGUUGGGCACUAGGUGUGGGGCUCAUUCCACGAGUUCCGUGCCGCAGCAAACGCAUUAAGUGCCCCGCCUGGGGAGUACGGCCGCAAGGCUAAAACUCAAAGAAAUUGACGGGGGCCCGCACAAGCGGCGGAGCAUGCGGAUUAAUUCGAUGCAACGCGAAGAACCUUACCAAGGCUUGACAUACACCGGAAAAGUGCAGAGAUGUGCUCCCCGUAAGGUCGGUGUACAGGUGGUGCAUGGUUGUCGUCAGCUCGUGUCGUGAGAUGUUGGGUUAAGUCCCGCAACGAGCGCAACCCUCGUCCCAUGUUGCCAGCGGGUUAUGCCGGGGACUCAUGGGAGACUGCCGGGGUCAACUCGGAGGAAGGUGGGGAUGACGUCAAAUCAUCAUGCCCCUUAUGUCUUGGGCUUCACGCAUGCUACAAUGGCCGGUACAAAGGGCUGCGAUACCGCAAGGUGGAGCGAAUCCCAAAAAGCCGGUCUCAGUUCGGAUUGGGGUCUGCAACUCGACCCC
rnacentral:rRNA from 1 species